rnacentral:rRNA from 1 species
UUGAACGCUCGCGGGAUGCUUUACACAUGCAAGUCGAACGGCAGCGCGGACUUCGGUCUGGCGGCGAGUGGCGAACGGGUGAGUAAUGUAUCGGAACGUGCCCAGUAGCGGGGGAUAACUACGCGAAAGCGUAGCUAAUACCGCAUACGCCCUACGGGGGAAAGCAGGGGAUCGUAAGACCUUGCACUAUUGGAGCGGCCGAUAUCGGAUUAGCUAGUUGGUGAGGUAACGGCUCACCAAGGCGACGAUCCGUAGCUGGUUUGAGAGGACGACCAGCCACACUGGGACUGAGACACGGCCCAGACUCCUACGGGAGGCAGCAGUGGGGAAUUUUGGACAAUGGGGGCAACCCUGAUCCAGCCAUCCCGCGUGUGCGAUGAAGGCCUUCGGGUUGUAAAGCACUUUUGGCAGGAAAGAAACGUCGCGGGCUAAUACCCCGUGGAACUGACGGUACCUGCAGAAUAAGCACCGGCUAACUACGUG